CAGUAGCCGCGGUAAAACGGAGGGAGCUAGCGUUGUUCGGAAUUACUGGGCGUAAAGCGCACGUAGGCGGCUACUCAAGUCGGGGGUGAAAGCCCGGGGCUCAACCCCGGAACUGCCCUCGAAACUAGGUAGCUAGAAUCUUGGAGAGGUCAGUGGAAUUCCGAGUGUAGAGGUGAAAUUCGUAGAUAUUCGGAGGAACACCAGUGGCGAAGGCGACUGGCUGGACAAGUAUUGACGCUGAGGUGCGAAAGCGUAGGGAGCAAACAGGAUUAGAGACCCCCGUAGUCCCUGUCUCUUAUAC
rnacentral:rRNA from 1 species